rnacentral:rRNA from 1 species
UGGGGAAUUUUGGACAAUGGGCGCAAGCCUGAUCCAGCAAUGCCGCGUGCAGGAUGAAGGCCUUCGGGUUGUAAACUGCUUUUGUACGGAACGAAACGGUCCCUUCUAAUACAAGAGGCUAAUGACGGUACCGUAAGAAUAAGCACCGGCUAACUACGUGCCAGCAGCCGCGGUAAUACGUAGGGUGCGAGCGUUAAUCGGAAUUACUGGGCGUAAAGCGUGCGCAGGCGGUUAUAUAAGACAGAUGUGAAAUCCCCGGGCUCAACCUGGGACCUGCAUAUGUGACUGUAUAGCUAGAGUACGGUAGAGGGGGAUGGAAUUCCGCGUGUAGCAGUGAAAUGCGUAGAUAUGCGGAGGAACACCGAUGGCGAAGGCAAUCCCCUGGACCUGUACUGACGCUCAUGCACGAAAGCGUGGGGAGCAAACAGGAUUAGAUACCCUGGUAGUCCACGCCCUAAACGAUGUCAACUGGUUGUUGGGUCUUCACUGACUCAGUAACGAAGCUAACGCGUGAAGUUGACCGCCUGGGGAGUACGGCCGCAAGGUUG